rnacentral:rRNA from 1 species
UACAGAGGGUGCAAGCGUUGUUCGGAAUUAUUGGGCGUAAAGCGCGUGUAGGCGGCUUUGCAAGUCGGGUGUGAAAGCCCUCAGCUUAACUCAGAACGGCCAAGUGAUACUGCUGUGCUAGAGUGCAGAAGGGGCAAUCGGAAUUCUUGGUGUAGCGGUGAAAUGCGUAGAUAUCAAGAGGAACACCUGAGGUGAAGACGGGUUGCUGGGCUGACACUGACGCUGAGGCGCGAAAGCCAGGGGAGCAAACGGG